rnacentral:lncRNA from 1 species
UUUUCAAAGUUAAAAUCAGUAAAAUGUAAUUUUUUCAUAAAUACUAUGUUCGCUGUAUGAAUAAACUGUAUUGAAAUUGAUUAAAGUUGCAUGUUUAGUAUUGAUACAUGGAAGAUAAUUGGAAAAGAAAGAAAAAGAAACAAAGAAAACACCUUAAACUUCUAGCAUGGAUUACAAGGUACUACAGAGAAUCUGUCCGUGCAGAGGUUUUUCUGCAACGGGUUUGCAUUGCAUGACAGAACAAAACUGAAAACUGGCAGAGUGGCAGUGAACAGAAACAAAGUGAGAAUCAAGAGCUGCUGGUAGAAGAGAAGGAGGCGGUGUCGUUUAGUGGUAUUUUGCAAACAAAACAAAACAAAACACAGACCCAGCGUGGGGUUGCAGAGACAGUGCGCCCCACGAGCCACGCCGUCCAGUGAAGACCCAGAUGUCUCCAGUCAACCAGGCAACAAGUGCCUCUCCAGCCGAGCACCACUGCACGUGCGCUAUCUCCCUCUCUCGCACGUGCGCUAUCUCUUUACUGUAGUUAUGAAUAAUAUUGGAGGAUUUUUGUUGUUACAGGUACGGAAUUCCAACUAUCCAAUGGUUUCAUGUUCGUGUGACUGCCCACUCUCUAUUUCACUUGUUUUUGGUUUCCAUGCUGCCUCUCCCUGUGGCCUGACAAAGUACGUACCCUGCUUGGGUAUUCUAAUCAGGCUAUUUGGAGUUUUCUUUUUUGAGAAUUUUGAAAGAAAAAAAUUUAAAAGUGUUUUUGUUUUUAGUAAUAUAUUAAAAUAAUAUUUUUUUAUUUUUUAAAAAUUCUUUUUUAUAUUAGCAUAUCAAAAUAAUCUGAAAAUAUUAAUUUAAAGUAAAAAAAUAAAAAAAAUUAAUUUUUUAGAAAAGUUUUUAUAACACAAACCUCUUGUUAUCAAGAAUAAAUUAUUUAUCCUUGAAUAUCUCUCAACAAGAUAAUUAUAAGCUCUAGAUUUGAAAGAGGAAGUAAAGCAUAAAAAAAAAUACUAGAAAUAAGGUAAUGAAUGCUGGUAUAUAAAUAUUUGAAAAAUAUUGUCUCAAAGUCUUCCUUUAUUUUUUUUAUAAUAAAUUUUGAAAGUUAAAAUAUUAAGAAAUUAAUUAUAAUAAUAAUUAAAAUUAAUUUUUAUUAUUAUCAAGUUUUAAUUAACUAUCAUAUACAAAUAAAAAAUUAGACUCAGCUAGAAGAAACAAAACACGGAGGGGGAAUCUCGAUGAAAUUGAAUAUAUCAUUAGGCUUCUUUUUAUUUAUUUUUUUUAUCAUGUCCCAAUUGUUAUAUCAUAUUUAUUAAUUAGUGGAUAAUUACACUGACACUUCUAACCUUUUUCAAAGCAACUUCAAAGGUUGAACGUGACCCACCACCUCUACAUUAACCCAGGGCAGGCUUCAGAAUUGGGGGGCUCUGUUACAGGUUUCCCGCCAAAAUUGGUACAUCUACCGGCUACCGGCUACAAUUAGCCUAAAACGUUUUGGAACUGUGCAAACCGUAUUAUUUUAAAAUUUAAUUUUUUUUUUAAUUAAUUGUAGCUGGUAGCUGCGGUGCUGUCAGCUACAAUUUACUUGCUAUCCUCGUGGUAUGUUUUAGAUUGUUUUAAUACAUUAAUUUUAAAAUAAUUUUUAAAAAAUAAAAAAAUAUCAUUUAAAUACAUUUCGGCAUGAAAAAUACUUUAAAAAGCAACCGUAAUUACACUUCCAAACAUGCUUGUUCAAUAAAAAAGAAAAAAGAAAAAAAGAAGCCUAAUGAGUGAGUCUCAGUUUCUUAACUUCUAAGGGUCUGUUUGUUUCUGCGUUUCAAAAGUGCUUUUGACAAAAUUUGAAAAUUUUUUAUUUUUUUAUUAACUUCAAAUUAAUAUGUUUUUAGUGUUUUCAAAUCAUUUUGAUGUGCUGAUGUCAAAAAUAAUUUUUAAAAAAUAAAAAAAAUCAUUAAUAUGUAUUUUAACACGAAAAGCUAUUUGAAAAGUAACCGCAACCACACUGCCAAACAAACCCUAACUCAACCAAAUCCCCGAGUUUGUCUGUGCAAAUAUAUAAAGAUAUACACGAUAAGAUUCACUAUAUAUUAGUAUAAUUAUAGACGAAUUUAUUAUCUUGAUGCUGUCUUUACGUGUUCUGAUCGAGAUUCUUGUGUUUGUAAUUUCAGGAAUUCUGCCCUCGUUUAUCACUUGUUCUUUUUAAAACGGGUGGCGCACAUCAUCGGUAAAAAAGAAAUUAUGUUCUUAGAUACCAUUUGUUUGCUUUUGCCUUUCU